UUCUAUAGAUCCUAAGGUUUAGAUUUACCCCUGCACCAGAGGCCAGUUGCACACAACAUCAGCGUGAUGCCAUAUUCUAGGAUGGAGAGCGGCUUCUCAGGACCACUGAACUGGGUACACAGGGAAACCUAACAAAAAUUAAGAAGGGAGAAACAUAUUUUUUGAAAGACUGCCGAGUGACAGAUUCAGGAUUUCUAAAUUUUUAUGCGAGACAGCAAAAUCUAUCUGUCCAGCAAAAUGGACGUGCCUGAGGCAGCAGUGGAAGAAAGCCGCACAAAGCUUUUCCCCAUGUCUCCUCAUAUUAGCUUUGAAGACCUGCACAAUCCCCCAACUAUCUUUUCAGUUUGUGGAAAGGUUGUGAAAGUAAGUAUCUAAACAUGAUAAUAAAAUAAAUUGUACCACUAGUAAUAUUUUUAACAACUUCUUAUCAACUUGUAGAUGAGCCAAAUAAUGUGCAAGGGGGAUAAUCUUCCUUUAAAGGAAAUUACCAUAACAAAUCCAAAGGGAGAAGAGGCGCAACUGUCAAUGUGGAGGGAGUGUGCUCUGCAAAAGCUUGAAAUUAACAAGCAAUACAAUUUUACACAUCUGAGAAUGAAACACUUCUCUUCUUAUGGAAGAAAGUGUUGCUCGACCUUGUACACACAAAUAACAGCUGCCAAAACUGAAGACGAGGUUGACAUAACGGUAAAAGGAGUAGGAGAAGACGAUGAAAGUGUUUUCCUACUCACCGAGCUAUGAACCGAGGUGAUAGUGCCAAAGGGAUUGUGGAAGGGGGACAUGUCACACCUGUCCAAGCUGCUUCCCUUGAGUGUCCAUA